rnacentral:rRNA from 1 species
CCUACGGGAGGCAGCAGUAAGGAAUAUUGGUCAAUGGGCGCAAGCCUGAACCAGCCAUGCCGCGUGCAGGAAGACGGCCCUAUGGGUUGUAAACUGCUUUUGAACAAGAGAAAACCUCGGUACGUGUACCGAGCUGAUAGUAUUGUUAGAAUAAGCAUCGGCUAACUUCGUGCCAGCAGCCGCGGUAAGACGAAGGAUGCAAGCGUUAUCCGGAUUCAUUGGGUUUAAAGGGUGCGUAGGCGGCCUGAUAAGUCAGUGGUGAAAUCUCUCAGCUUAACUGAGAAACUGCCAUUGAUACUGUCGGGCUUGAGUACAGAUGAUGUGGGCGGAAUAUGACAUGUAGUGGUGAAAUACUUAGAUAUGUCAUAGAACACCGAUUGCGAAGGCAGCUCACAAAACUGUAACUGACGCUGAGGCACGAAAGUGCGGGGAUCAAACAGGAUUAGAUACCCUGGUAGUCCGCACCGUAAACGAUGAUUACUCGUUGUUGGCAAUAUGACCGUCAGCGACCAAGCGAAAGCGAUAAGAAUCCACCUGGGGAGUACGCCGGCACGGUGAAACUUAAGGAAUUGACGG